rnacentral:misc_RNA from 1 species
CCGAGUGAAGGGCCUCCGGGUCCGAUCUCCCACCCUUUGUGAUUAAACCUCUGUUGCCUCGGGGGUGACCCGCGCGUCUUCGGCGCCGGGGCCCCCGGUGGACCAACCCAUAACACUGCAUCUUUGCGUCGGAUAUUAAUGAAAAUAAAUAA